rnacentral:lncRNA from 1 species
UCAACCAUCCCUUUAACAAAGACACCAAUUGCUGCAUAAUUUGAACACUACUCGUCGCGAAACAAAGCUCCAUCCACAUUACAUUUGAGUGUGCCGAUAAUUGGCCUCUAUCACCCAGGAAUAGUCGAAUCAAACUAAUGAGCUACUGGUUUUGCAGUACCAUAAACCGAUUGAGCCUCCAACCAUUGCAUAAGAAAAUUGUCUGCAAUGUCAAUAACAUGCUGCGGGGAAUGAGCCUCACCUUUCCAAACAAGCAGGUUAUGAUGGAACCAAAUACUCCACAUGAUGGUGAGAAUCCGAUGAAAU